rfam:Pan troglodytes isolate Yerkes chimp pedigree #C0471 (Clint) chromosome 7, whole genome shotgun sequence.
GCUGGGCGUGGUGGCGGGUGCCUGUAAUCCCAGCUACUCGGGAGGCUGAGGCGGGAGAAUCGCUUGAGCCUGGGAGUUGGAGGUUGCAGUGAGCCGAGAUUGUGCCACUGCACUCCAACCUGGGCCACAGAGUGAGCCUCCAUCUCAA